rnacentral:rRNA from 1 species
GCCUGUUUAUCAAAAACAUGUCUUUUUGUGAAUAAUUUAAAGUCUAAUCUGCCCCCUGAUAAUUUAUUAAAGGGCUGCAGUAUUUUGACUGUACAAAGGUAGCAUAAUCAUUAGUCUCUUAAUUGGUGACUUGUAUGAAGGAUUGAAUGAGAUAUAAACUGUCUUAAAGUUAAAAUAAAUUGAAUUUAAUUUUUUAAUUAAAAAGUUAAAAUAAAUUAAAAAGACGAGAAGACCCUAUAGAGUUUUAUAUUAAUUUAAAUUUAAUUUAUUUAUAAAUUUAAUAAGUAUAAAUUUAUUUUAUUAUUUUGUUGGGGUGAUAAAAAAAUAAAAAAAACUUUUUUUAAAAAUAUACAUAAAUAAGUGAUUUUUUGAUCCAAUUUUAUUGAUUAUAAGAAAAAAUUCCCUUAAGGAUAACAGCGUAAUUUUUUUUUUUAGUUCUUAUAAGAAGGUAAAUUUGCGACCUCGAUGUUGGAUUAAGAUAAAAUUUAA